GCGGAUGUGGUGAAAUUGGUAGACACGCUGGUCUUAGAAGCCAGUGCCUUUGGUGUGAGAGUUCGAGUCUCUCCGUCCGCA
rnacentral:tRNA from 1 species